rnacentral:rRNA from 1 species
UACGAAGGGGCUAGCGUUGCUCGGAAUCACUGGGCGUAAAGCGCACGUAGGCGGAUUGUUAAGUCAGGGGUGAAAUCCUGGAGCUCAACUCCAGAACUGCCUUUGAUACUGGCGAUCUCGAGUCCGGGAGAGGUGAGUGGAACUGCGAGUGUAGAGGUGAAAUUCGUAGAUAUUCGCAAGAACACCAGUGGCGAAGGCGGCUCACUGGCCCGGUACUGACGCUGAGGUGCGAAAGCGUGGGAGCAACAGG